GGUUUCCCAGAGCUCUCCUACCGGGGAGGCAGCCAGUKGGGAAUAUUGCCAAUGGCGCAAGCUGAAUGCAAACAUCCAGGUGUGUGAAAGAAGGCCUUCGGGUUGUAAAGCACUUUCAGCGAGGAGGGAGGGGUUCAGUGUUAAUAGCACAUUUGCAUUGACGGUUACUCGCAGAAGAAGCACCGGCUAACUUCCGGUGCCAGCAACCGCGGUAAUACCGGAGGGUGCAAGCGUUAAUCGGAAUUACUGGGCGUAAAGCGCACGCAGGCGGUUUGUUAAGUCAGAUGUGAAAUCCCGCGCUUAACGUGGGAACUGCAUUUGAACUGGCAAGCUAGAGUCUUGUAGAGGGGGGUAGAAUUCCAGGUGUAGCGGUGAAAUGCGUAGAGAUCUGGAGGAAUACCGGUGGCGAAGGCGGCCCCCUGGACAAAGACUGACGCUCAGGUGCGAAAGCGUGGGGAGCAAACAGGAUUAGAUACCCUGGUAGUCCACGCUGUAAACGAUGUCGACUUGGAGGUUGUGCCCUUGAGGCGUGGCUUCCGGAGCUAACGCGUUAAGUCGACCGCCUGGGGAGUACGGCCGCAAGGUUAAAACUCAAAUGAAUUGACGGGGGCCCGCACAAGCGGUGGAGCAUGUGGUUUAAUUCGAUGCAACGCGAAGAACCUUACCUACUCUUGACAUCCAGAGAAUUCGCUAGAGAUAGCUUAGUGCCUUCGGGAACUCUGAGACAGGUGCUGCAUGGCUGUCGUCAGCUCGUGUUGUGAAAUGUUGGGUUAAGUCCCGCAACGAGCGCAACCCUUAUCCUUUGUUGCCAGCGCGUAAUGGCGGGAACUCAAAGGAGACUGCCGGUGAUAAACCGGAGGAAGGUGGGGAUGACGUCAAGUCAUCAUGGCCCUUACGAGUAGGGCUACACACGUGCUACAAUGGCGUAUACAAAGAGAAGCGAACUCGCGAGAGCAAGCGGACCUCAUAAAGUACGUCGUAGUCCGGAUCGGAGUCUGCAACUCGACUCCGUGAAGUCGGAAUCGCUAGUAAUCGUAGAUCAGAAUGCUACGGUGAAUACGUUCCCGGGCCUUGUACACACCGCCCGUCACACCAUGGGAGUGGGUUGCAAAAGAAGUAGGUAGCUUAACCUUCGGGAGGGCGCUUUACCAC
rnacentral:rRNA from 1 species